rnacentral:rRNA from 1 species
CCUACGGGAGGCAGCAGUGAGGAAUAUUGGUCAAUGGGCGGAAGCCUGAACCAGCCAAGUCGCGUGCAGGAUGACGGCCCUACGGGUUGUAAACUGCUUUUAUAAGGGAAUAAAGCGCGGUACGUGUAGGGCUUGGUAUGUACCGUAUGAAUAAGGACCGGCUAAUUCCGUGCCAGCAGCCGCGGUAAUACGGAAGGUCCGGGCGUUAUCCGGAUUUAUUGGGUUUAAAGGGUGCGUAGGCAGCUUGUCAAGCGUGCUGUGAAAUGUCCGGGCUCAACCCGGGACUUGCCGUGCGAACUGGCGUGCUUGAGUCCGCGUAAGGCAGGCGGAAUUCGUCGUGUAGCGGUGAAAUGCUUAGAUAUGACGAAGAACCCCGAUUGCGAAGGCAGCUUGCUGCGGCGUAACUGACGCUGAUGCUCGAAAGCGUGGGUAUCGAACAGGAUUAGAUACCCGAGUAGUC